rnacentral:sRNA from 2 species
UCAGCUGAGGCGUUAGAAGGUUAUGAAGUUGGUUGACAUAAGCAGUUUCAACUCUCUCAAUCAGAAUAAUGUUACACCUUACUCAAGCGUUGCGAGUGUGAUCCGAGAUAGACUGGCUUCGUUCGAGUAGAAAUCUCCCGAAUCAUCUGCUGAUCAAGGAUGUAAUGUUUUCUCCAGACCCUGAAUCUCACAGGGAAGCCUUAAGUGAUAAUGUAGUGAGUGACUAACCAGGCACGAGCAAGCAAGGUUAACUGCUUGAUCAAAAAAACAUACACAAUAAAUAGCUAUGAUCAUUUAUUACCUCUCUCUCUCUCUCUUUUGUCCUUUCUUACUAUAUAAGCUAUAUAGUUAGUAUUCAUAUUCACUACUUUAAUACCAGACCGUAGUUGUAGUGAAGGUAGACAGACCCUGGACUGGAUUGUGUUGGCAAUAUCAAUAGUGCUCCUAGAAAAUGCAAACA